AAAACCCAGAAGAAACU
rnacentral:sRNA from 1 species